GAUGAACGCUGGCGGCGUGCCUAAUACAUGCAAGUCGAGCGAACAGACGAGGAGCUUGCUCCUCUGACGUUAGCGGCGGACGGGUGAGUAACACGUGGAUAACCUACCUAUAAGACUGGGAUAACUUCGGGAAACCGGAGCUAAUACCGGAUAAUAUAUUGAACCGCAUGGUUCAAUAGUGAAAGACGGUUUUGCUGUCACUUAUAGAUGGAUCCGCGCCGCAUUAGCUAGUUGGUAAGGUAACGGCUUACCAAGGCGACGAUGCGUAGCCGACCUGAGGGGGUGAUCGGCCACACUGGAACUGAGACACGGUCCAGACUCCUACGGGGGGCAGCAGUAGGGAAUCUUCCGCAAUGGGCGAAAGCCUGACGGAGCAACGCCGCGUGAGUGAUGAAGGUCUUCGGAUCGUAAAGCUCUGUUAUUAGGGAAGAACAAAUGUGUAAGUAACUAUGCACGUCUUGACGGUACCUAAUCAGAAAGCCACGGCUAACUACGUG
rnacentral:rRNA from 1 species